GACGAACGCUGGCGGCGUGCCUAAUACAUGCAAGUCGAGCGAAGUUUUUCUGGUGCUUGCACCGGAAAAACUUAGCGGCGAACGGGUGAGUAACACGUAAAGAACCUGCCUCAUAGACUGGGACAACUAUUGGAAACGAUAGCUAAUACCGGAUAACAGCAUUAACUGCAUGGUUGAUGUUUGAAAGUUGGUUUUGCUAACACUAUGAGAUGGCUUUGCGGUGCAUUAGCUAGUUGGUGGGGUAAAGGCCUACCAAGGCGACGAUGCAUAGCCGACCUGAGAGGGUGAUCGGCCACACUGGGACUGAGACACGGCCCAGACUCCUACGGGAGGCAGCAGUAGGGAAUCUUCCGCAAUGGGCGAAAGCCUGACGGAGCAACGCCGCGUGAGUGAAGAAGGAUUUCGGUUCGUAAAGCUCUGUUGUUAGGGAAGAAUGAUUGUGUAGUAACUAUACACAGUAGAGACGGU
rnacentral:rRNA from 1 species